rnacentral:rRNA from 1 species
GACGAACGCUGGCGGCGUGCCUAAUACAUGCAAGUGGGACGCACUGAUUUCACGGGAGCUUGCUCCACGAGGUCAGUGAGUCGCGAACGGGUGAGUAACGCGUAGGUAACCUGCCUACUAGCGGGGGAUAACUAUUGGAAACGAUAGCUAAUACCGCAUGCUAGCUUUUAGCGCAUGCUAGGAGCUUAAAAGAUGCAACUGCAUCACUAGUAGAUGGACCUGCGUUGUAUUAGCUAGUUGGUAAGGUAAGAGCUUACCAAGGCGACGAUACAUAGCCGACCUGAGAGGGUGAACGGCCACACUGGGACUGAGACACGGCCCAGACUCCUACGGGAGGCAGCAGUAGGGAAUCUUCGGCAAUGGACGAAAGUCUGACCGAGCAACGCCGCGUGAGUGAAGAAGGUUUUCGGAUCGUAAAGCUCUGUUGUAAGCGAAGAACGGGUGUAAGAGUGGAAAGCUUAGACUGUGACGGUAGCUUACCAGAAAGGGACGGCUAACUACGUGCCAGCAGCCGCGGUAAUACGUAGGUCCCGAGCGUUGUCCGGAUUUAUUGGGCGUAAAGGGAGCGCAGGCGGUUAGGAAAGUCUGGAGUAAAAGGCUAUGGCUCAACCAUAGUGUGCUCUGGAAACUGUCUGACUUGAGUGCAGAAGGGGAGAGUGGAAUUCCAUGUGUAGCGGUGAAAUGCGUAGAUAUAUGGAGGAACACCAGUGGCGAAAGCGGCUCUCUGGUCUGUCACUGACGCUGAGGCUCGAAAGCGUGGGUAGCGAACAGGAUUAGAUACCCUGGUAGUCCACGCCGUAAACGCUGAGUGCUAGGUGUUAGGCCCUUUCCGGGGCUUAGUGCCGGAGCUAACGCAAUAAGCACUCCGCCUGGGGAGUACGACCGCAAGGUUGAAACUCAAAGGAAUUGACGGGGGCCCGCACAAGCGGUGGAGCAUGUGGUUUAAUUCGAAGCAACGCGAAGAACCUUACCAGGUCUUGACAUCCCGAUGUUAUUCUUAGAGAUAAGAAGUUACUUCGGUACAUCGGAGACAGGUGGUGCAUGGUUGUCGUCAGCUCGUGUCGUGAGAUGUUGGGUUAAGUCCCGCAACGAGCGCAACCCUUAUUGUUAGUUGCCAUCAUUAAGUUGGGCACUCUAGCGAGACUGCCGGUAAUAAACCGGAGGAAGGUGGGGAUGACGUCAAAUCAUCAUGCCCCUUAUGACCUGGGCUACACACGUGCUACAAUGGUCGGUACAACGAGUUGCGAGCCGGUGACGGCAAGCUAAUCUCUGAAAGCCGAUCUCAGUUCGGAUUGGAGGCUGCAACUCGCCUCCAUGAAGUCGGAAUCGCUAGUAAUCGCGGAUCAGCACGCCGCGGUGAAUACGUUCCCGGGCCUUGUACACACCGCCCGUCACACCACGAGAGUUUGUUACACCCGAAGUCGGUGAGGUAACCGUUAAGGGGCCAGCCGC